UACAGAGGGUGCAAGCGUUAAUCAGAAUGACUGGGCGUAAAGGGCGUGUAGGUGGUUAACUAGGUUUGAUGUAAAAUCCCCGGACUUAAUCUGGGAAGGUCGUCGAAAACGGGUUUAACUAGAGUGAGAUAGAGGGUUGCGGAAUUUCCGGUGUAGCGGUGAAAUGCGUAGAUAUCGGAAAGAACAUCAGUGGCGAAGGCGGCAACCUGGGUCUUAACUGACACUGAGGCGCGAAGGCGUGGGGAGCAAACAGG
rnacentral:rRNA from 1 species